CUUUGUCGCCUAGAGGUAUCCUGGCAACCUGUCAACAAAAGGGAAAGGACAGAGUUCUCUGGUAACAGAUUGGAAAAAUCCAAAACAAGGGGUGAAGGAACUCAGAAACCAACAGUCAAAUAGAAAGCCUAUGCAUUGACAGUUAUAUACCUACGUGUGAAUACUGCCUCAGGAUCCGAAGGCGGGUGCCCUUCCCAUUCCUCUCUAUGACCACAGCAGCUUCUAUUGCUCAAGAUGAGCCAUGACAAAACAAAUGACACAUUUGUGCUGUUGAAGGAAAACUCAGUGACUCAGAUAGACACAAAUUGUUCCAUACACCUUUCAUCCUCAUUACCAGGGACACAGUAUAGCGUGUAUUUGCAGCAUUUCUGAAGUCAAACAGCUUUCUAUAUUGGAAUUUACUCUGGUUUUUCCCUGCAAAGAUUUAUUUUUCUCUGGAGUAACACUCAAUAUGCUCUAUUGUAUCAAAAGUCUGAGUGAAAACAUUUCAAGACAGAGAAGCAUUUUCACAGUGUCAAGGACUCAAGCUUCUUAUAUCUUGUUGCUGCAUCAUCAUGGAGCUUUUCUGCUUCAUUGUCUGAGAUGGCUGCUCAAGUUCCCACCAUUACAUCUCUAAUCCAACCAGAUAUAAAGGGAAAAGAGGAAAUGGAAGAGAUGUCCCUCCCAUUAAAAGCCAUGUAGGACUUUAAGGACCAUGCACCAGUCACAGAGAGAGAGAGAGAGAGAGAGAGAGAGAGGCAGAGACACAAGCAGAGGGAGAAGCAGG